rnacentral:rRNA from 1 species
GUGAGGAAUAUUGGACAAUGGGCGCAAGCCUGAUCCAGCCAUGCCGCGUGCAGGAAGACGCAUCUAUGGUGUGUAAACUGCUUUUGUACGGGAAGAAACACUCCCUCGUGAGGGAGCUUGACGGUACCGUAAGAAUAAGGAUCGGCUAACUCCGUGCCAGCAGCCGCGGUAAUACAGAGGAUCCAAGCGUUAUCCGGAAUCAUUGGGUUUAAAGGGUCCGUAGGCGGUUUAAUAAGUCAGUGGUGAAAGCCCAUCGCUCAACGAUGGAACGGCCAUUGAUACUGUUAGACUUGAAUUACAAGGAAGUAACUAGAAUAUGUAGUGUAGCGGUGAAAUGCUUAGAUAUUACAUGGAAUACCAAUUGCGAAGGCAGGUUACUACUUGUGGAUUGACGCUGAUGGACGAAAGCGUGGGGAGCGAACAGGAUUAGAUACCCUGGUAGUCC